rnacentral:lncRNA from 1 species
CCAUGGAUCAAUCCUUUGAUCAUUUUUAAUCCUUAAAUUAAUACUAUUCUCUAGGAGCUAGACCACUAAAUUCUAAAGUAACCACUAAAUUCUAUGAAAAACUGUUACCAUCCUAACUCUAUAAUGCUUAAUUCAAAAGCUAAAAAGUUGGAAGCGCCAAUUUCUUUAUGUUUCUGGAAGUAUAGUAGAUCUACACCAAAUUGAUUAAUUCCUAGUCUUUUCGGCUCAGUAUUUGCUUUAAAGAUAGAAUAUUG